CCAUCACCCAAACCGGCUCCGUCAUCGACAAUCCACCAGCCACCCUCCCUUCCCUUUUAUGUACGCCUUUCCCCUCGAUCGCCCCGUCCUCUCCUGCUCCCAUCGCCCGUCGCAGUCUCGUCUUUGUUUCGUCGCGAGAAUCGUGAGAUCUCGCGGCACGGUUAGUGGUCUGUUCCUUCUGAUCCAGGAUGAUGUGUCAUCCGAUCCGAAGAGGUGUUCCUGUAGCGGAGGAUUUGCCUCUCUGGUACAUGUGUAUCCCUUGAGCCAUGUUCGUCUAAGAUUUUCUGGCGAUACGCUUGCGACGCCUGAAUCGGUUGAUGCGCCAGAUCCUUCGGUUUUUGUUCCGGGCACGCCGAUGGUUCAUGUUCAUCGUCACUGGUUUAUGAUGCCUGCGGACCACUGAUUAUCUUCGACGAUGCUCGCCUUCUAGUUGAAGAAGGCGCCUGAGGGAAGUGGUCAUCCGAUUUAUGCUUCAGGUUCGUGGUUCCUUCUGCUGACAAGAUGAUGCUUGCCUGUCUCCAAACAUCACAGAAAGGUAAUUGUGUUGGUAGGCUGAUUGACGCGCAUGUGUGUACGUGCGUGUUGUAUUAUUACAUGUUGUACUACAUUGGUAGCGUAGGACGGCCUUUGCCAUGUCGGGUGCGCUCGCUUGGCAGGCCACGAGACAAUAAAAGGAAUAUUUUGCUGGUGUUUGCGGGGUGGAGAUCGCACGGGAACUAUCAAUUUGUUCUAUUUUGCCCGGGUUCUCCACCCUGCCAUGGUGUCUCUGUCCUUCUCUCGUGUUGUUGAUUCCGUGACAUCAUCUUUGUUGAUUCCGCGAUAUCAUCUUAAGUACACCGCGAUCCUUCAUAUCAAAUAUAUCGACAGGUGCAGCGAUAACUACGUACUGAAGAUCAAUGAUAACUGCAUACUCAAGAUCGAUGAUAACUACAAACCAAGAAUUUUUGGUUACUCUGCAUAUUUUCGACAAUGGUCGUCUAGUUGAUGAAGGCUCUCCAGUGCUUGCUGCUGUCCACAAGGCGCAGGAGGGAAUUGGUCAUCCUAGUUAUGCUUCAUGUUUGCUGAUCAAAUCUAGAUAUGGCGUUCAUGGUUCCUUUUGCUGACAAGCUUGCCUAUCUCCGAACAUUGCAGAAAGGUAAUUGUGUUGGUAAGCAGAUUGAUGCGCAUGUGUUGUAUUACUUGCUGUACUACAUUGGUAGGUAGGACGGUCUUUGCCAUGACGGGUGCGCUCGCUUGGCAGGCCACGAGACAAAAAAACGUAUAUUUUGUUGGUGUUUGCGGGGUGGAGAUCGCACGGGGAACUAUCAAUUUGUUCUAUUUUGCCCGGGUUCUCCACCCUGUCAUGGUGUCUCUGUCCUUGCCCUGUGUUGUUGAUUCCACAAGAUCAUCUAAAAUUGCACCACGAUCCUACAUAGCAAAUGUAGGCCUGGGUGCAGUGAUAACUACGUACUGAAGAUUAAUGAUACUACAAACGAAGGUACAUCUAACUGCUUCUAUCGGGCAAGCACUUCGCUACAUCAAUUUAAAUUUGCAUAUGCACGCCAUCCCAACUCUUCGUCAAUGAACAACCUUAUUUUGGCUUGAUAUGAGAUCUAUCAUACAUGUAAAUAUUGUACUCUUGCACCCCACGAGAGAUCAUCAGCAUUCUUGUUCAAUGUUACAAUGUCUUCUUUUAGAAAAAAGCCGUUUGCAGGCUUUUCCGAGAAGCUUUGUUUUCUCUGCAAAAAAUUUAUUGUACAAUGUUACGAGCUCUGUACCUUUGUCAUAAUUCAACUAUUUCCUGUUAGUUCUCAUGAUGUGUGCACAGGUGAGUUCCAUUUGUUCUACUACGUGGUGUACAUAUUUAUUAUCAAUUCUGUAAAUACCAUUGAUGGACUUGUGUUCCCCUUUGUUUACUUUUUAUUCUUCCAAAAUUGAUGCCUUGUUAAUGGCCUUGAGAACUUGAGCUUGUCCAGAUGUUCUUAAUGGAUGUAUAGCUCGUCAUAUCAGAAUUUUGUUUUAGUGUGAAUGCCAUUUUUGCUCAGCAAUGUCUUGCUGAAACCUGUAGGAGGAGCUUUAUUCGGGAAGGGCUGGUUUCACAUUCCAUACUGGUUCGUCUGGUUAUAUGUAAUCUUACAUUUGCAUGCAAUUCCUAGCCAUGCAUAUAUGGCAUUGUCAGAGGUACGCAGUCUUUGACUUGUUGUGCUGUAGCUUUCGUGUUUAGGUGCAACAGUUGCUUCUCCAACGAGGAAACCUGGUUAGGUAGGCAAUUUGAGCUCGCUGAUUUCCUGAUUUGAUUGCAUUUUCUCCGUAUUUACAGACUAUCAUCAGAAAAGUUCUUUGUAGCUUUUUUUUCUUCAAAACUAUCUUAAUAAAUUAUGAUUCGUUAUUCUAUAAAAAAAUGCACAAUAAUAUCUCUAAAUUUGGAAGUUGGGAUCAUUCUUUGCUAGUAUUCUCAUUUUUAUGCCUUCAUUUGUGAUCAGCAAAUUAAACUUUAGCAAGCAGGCUGUGGUAUUCAAAUUGGAUGUGAUAGUAUUUUGUCAACUUACGAUAUCUACAGCUGGUUUGGUCCGAUUUUUAUUAUUAUAAAAUAAAUGAAUAAAUCGU